CCCAGGUGCUAAAAUCUUAUGUGUCAAGGGCAUUGUGAUGGCGCGAUCCAUGUCUCCUGUGACCGCUCGGCAUCCCGAAGCCCCAAAGAGGAGGGCUUCAAGGCUGGACAACAAGCUUCACUGGAUGAAAGCAUUUCCCUUCUAAAACAGAGUGCUGCUGACAUGAAUGCACAAGAAAUUACUGUGUGCCUUAGAUUGGGAUGCUGAACCAGAUGAAAAAUGUCACUGCAGCUUUGAGUGCAGUCAUAGGUUAAAUGGAAGUAUUGGAUGGAGCAAUUCAGUGGGGCUGCUGCAGGAGGAUACAUAGUAACAAUGAUGGAAAGAACCUUCCCCACUCGCUCCUGAACCUUAUAAUGUGCCUUUGUGUGUAUAUUUAAUCAUUCACGGAAACCUGAUUUCUA